CGGGUGAGUAACGCGUGGAUAACCUGCCUCACACUGGGGGAUAACAGUUAGAAAUGACUGCUAAUACCGCAUGAGCGCACAGUACCGCAUGGUACGGUGUGAAAAAACUCCGGUGGUGUGAGAUGGAUCCGCGUCUGAUUAGCCAGUUGGCGGGUAACGGCCCACCAAAGCGACGAUCAGUAGCCGACCUGAGAGGGUGACCGGCCACAUUGGGACUGAGACACGGCCCAA
rnacentral:rRNA from 1 species